UAAUAAGUGUUUUAUGGCACUUUUUAAAUCCAUAUUCACCUUGUGUGCAAUGUCAGUCGAUCUUCUUCAUGGAGAUCGACCAAACAUCAACCUUUAUUUUUUAACUCUUUGUCUGAAAAAUAUUAUGAAUAAACAAUUCAAAAUA
rnacentral:misc_RNA from 1 species